rnacentral:rRNA from 1 species
GCCUUAGUAGCGGCGAGUGAAGCGGCAAUAGCUCAAAUUUGAAAUCUGGCGCCUUCGGUGUCCGAGUUGUAAUUUGAAGAAGGUAUCUUUGGUUUUGGCUCUUGUCUAUGUUCCUUGGAACAGGACGUCACAGAGGGUGAGAAUCCCGUGCGAUGAGAUGCCCAAUUCCAUGUAAAGUUCCUUCGACGAGUCGAGUUGUUUGGGAAUGCAGCUCUAAGUGGGUGGUAAAUUCCAUCUAAAGCUAAAUAUUGGCGAGAGACCGAUAGCGAACAAGUACUGUGAAGGAAAGAUGAAAAGAACUUUGAAAAGAGAGUGAAAAAGUACGUGAAAUUGUUGAAAGGGAAGGGCUUGAGAUUAGACUUGGAAUUUUCCAUUUUUGGAGCUUUCCGGGCCAGCAUCAGUUUGGAUGGCAGGAUAAUUGCGUUGGAAAGUAACACUACUUCGGUGGUGUAUUAUAGACUUCGUCGAUACUGCCUAUCUAGACUGAGGACCGCGUCUUUGACUAGGAUGCUGGCGUAAUGAUCUUAAGCCGCCCGUCUUGAAACACGGACCAAGGAGUCUAACGUCUAUGCGAGUGUUUGGGUG